CUGCAGCCCGAGUGGUGAUCGAUUUUAUUGAGCCUAAAGCGUCCGUAGCCGGACUAGUAAACCCUUGGGUAAAUUGGGCAGCUUAACUGUCCAAAUUCCGAGGGGACUGCUAGUCUUGGGACCGGGAGAGGUCAGAGGUACUCAAGGGGUAGGGGCUAAAUCCUGUAAUCCUUUGGGGACCACCAGUGGCGAAGGCGUCUGACUAGAACGGAUCCGACGGUAAGGGACGAAACCCUGGGGCGCAAAACGGAUUAGAUACCCGAGUAGUCC
rnacentral:rRNA from 1 species